GAUGAACGCUAGCUACAGGCUUAACACAUGCAAGUCGAGGGGAAACGACAUCGAAAGCUUGCUUUUGAUGGGCGUCGACCGGCGCACGGGUGAGUAACGCGUAUCCAACCUGCCCAUCACUUGGGGAUAACCUUGCGAAAGUAAGACUAAUACCCAAUGAUAUCUCUAGAAGACAUCAGAAAGAGAUUAAAGAUUUAUCGGUGAUGGAUGGGGAGGCGUCUGAUUAGGUGGUUGGCGGGGUAACGGCCGACCAAGGCGACGAUCAGUAGGGGUUCUGAGAGGAAGGUCCCCCACAUUGGAACUGAGACACAGUCCAAACUACUACGGGAGGCAGCAGUGAGGAAUAUUGGUCAAUGGGCGAGAGCCUGAACCAGCCAAGUAGCGUGCAGGAAGACGGCCCUAUGGGUUGUAAACUGCUUUUAUAAGGGAAUAAAGUGAGUCUCGUGAGACUUUUUGCAUGUACCUUAUGAAUAAGGACCGGCUAAUUCCGUGCCAGCCGCCGCAGUAA
rnacentral:rRNA from 1 species